AGUGAACGCUUGCGGUAGGCCUAACACAUGCAAGUCGAACGGCAGCACAGGAGAGCUUGCUCUCUGGGUGGCGAGUGGCGGACGGGUGAGGAAUACAUCGGAAUCUACUCUGUCGUGGGGGAUAACGUAGGGAAACUUACGCUAAUACCGCAUACGACCUACGGGUGAAAGCAGGGGAUCUUCGGACCUUGCGCGAUUGAAUGAGCCGAUGUCGGAUUAGCUAGUUGGCGGGGUAAAGGCCCACCAAGGCGACGAUCCGUAGCUGGUCUGAGAGGAUGAUCAGCCACACUGGAACUGAGACACGGUCCAGACUCCUACGGGAGGCAGCAGUGGGGAAUAUUGGACAAUGGGCGCAAGCCUGAUCCAGCCAUACCGCGUGGGUGAAGAAGGCCUUCGGGUUGUAAAGCCCUUUUGUUGGGAAAGAAAUCCAGCUGGCUAAUACCCGGUUGGGAUGACGGUACUCAAAGAAUAAGCACCGGCUAACUUCGUGCCAGCAGCCGCAGUAA
rnacentral:rRNA from 1 species